CUUGGCACUAGACAUGUUUUUUGGCCCAUUCUUGCCACAGUCGAAAUUUAGCAUUUGUCACAAAGCCAGACACAUAAUUGUGUCUGGUACACUUUGAUCAGUUGUGCCGUGUGUCAUGUCUGACUGCGUCUUUGGCCACAUUCCCUACUAGCUUUAUUCCUGUUAUCCUGCCUCUUAUUUACUGCUGCUGCUCAAUGAUAAUUACUUUGCAGUUGUCUGAGGGUUGUUUUAACUGAUGAGCCUCACCAUUUAUGCGGACUCCCACUCCCAUAAAGUAUUCAUUCAGUGGGCACUGCAACUCUAGAGUCGAUUCUGGUCAGCAGGGAAGUGUGCAGUUUCCUUUCCCUGAAGUCAAACACAAUAAGACCAUUUUAGGGAAAUCCUACCCGGCUCUGGGGCAAGAAACAACACCACUUCCGGUUCCAGUCCUGAUGACAUCACUACCUGUACUGACCUUUAA